GAUGAACGCUAGCUACAGGCUUAACACAUGCAAGUCGAGGGGAAACGCCAUCGAAAGCUUGCUUUUGAUGGGCGUCGACCGGCGCACGGGUGAGUAACGCGUAUCCAACCUGCCCAUCACUUGGGAAUAACCUUGCGAAAGUAAGACUAAUACCCAAUGACAUCCCCCGAAGACAUCUGAAUGGGAUUAAAGAUUUAUCGGUGAUGGAUGGGGAUGCGUCUGAUUAGCUUGUUGGCGGGGUAACGGCCCACCAAGGCAACGAUCAGUAGGGGUUCUGAGAGGAAGGUCCCCCACAUUGGAACUGAGACACGGUCCAAACUCCUACGGGAGGCAGCAGUGAGGAAUAUUGGUCAAUGGGCGAGAGCCUGAACCAGCCAAGUAGCGUGCAGGAUGACGGCCCUAUGGGUUGUAAACUGCUUUUAUAAGGGAAUAAAGUGGGUCUCGUGAGACUUUUUGCAUGUACCUUAUGAAUAAGGACCGGCUAAUUCCGUG
rnacentral:rRNA from 1 species